AGGAGGACAGCUUGGACCACUGGAGGGCGGCAGAGUUCUGGACUUGACGAGAUUCUAUUUCAAUAUUAAAUGAAAACAUCAUUUUGUUCCUGGAUGAGUAUAAGAAAUACCAGCAGGGCAGUGCUCCUUCUGCCAAACAGAGGGAGAAAGCUCUCUCAAAGGUCAGCAGAGUCAAGUCCUUCAUUUUCUACAUGGACAUGAAGGACCUGAACACCUGGCUCUUUCUCUACAACAUGGAGGGCAUACGGAGCUACGCCAGCCACCUGACGGGGAUGAAGAAGACCAUCACCACGGCAACUUUACCUGCGUAACAUCUACCAGUUCUGCCAGUACCUCAAGGAGACCCCGCCCCCCCUCUGCCGACUCUCUCAGGUUAAACUGACCGCUGUGGUGAGGCCUGUGCGGUCAGCCAUCGCCAACCUCAACAGGCAGGUGGUGCUCCACCAGCUGAAGGUGAAGGCGGUAAAAAGGUCACGGCUGAUCUCUAGGGCCGGUCUACGGAGGUGCCAGGAGCCGGCCGCGGCCAAGGUCCCGGGGAUCCUGGACCAAAUGGAGGCCGACGACAGGCUCUCCCUGCGUUACACAUUUUAUGGGUAUUUCUCGGCUGGUGCUGGACGCUGGCUAAACAGAUGAGGGAGAAAUGCCAGAAAAUCGUCUCCUACCAGGAGUCGGGGUCCUCCUGCCUGGAGGAGGAGGCGCAGGAAAUGAGAGAAGAGGAGGAAUUCACUCUCCAGGUGGAAAAUACUCCAGUGAAGAACCCGACGGUGGCCAAGAUGCUUCAGGCUACAGUGAGGCUCAGCCCGCUGCAGAAAGGGGAGGGGCUACCUCGAAGAGGCCAAAGAUCUCUAAAAGGGCACCGAGGUCAAAGCUCAGACCGCAACGGAAGUGAUGGACAGCCCACUAAGAAGCACACACACACACACACACACACACACACACACACACACACACACACACACACACACACACACACACACACACACACACACACACACACACUCUUAAUAUGUUAAUAGAUUGUUAUUUCCUUUUUUUGGUUGGUCUGAUUAUAUUCAAUAAAUAAGAUUUUAGAAUAUGAUGGUUCUACUGCUUAUUACAUUUGAUUUAUAAGGAAAGAAACUGACAUUUUGAAUCCAUUCACCGACUAUGUGAAGACGUUGAUUAAACGUUCACGUUUAGACCAUAUUUCACCGUGAUCCGUAAGAAAUGUGGACGUCGUUUCUGAGUUGGGCUCUUAUAUGAUGAUAUACCAUUAUUAGCAUAAUGCAGAGAACUAAAAAUAUCAUUAUUGCAAAUCCCACUGAAAUGUGGUCUAAACGUGAACGUUCAAUCAACGUCUUCAAAUAGUCACUUUUGAACCAAUUCUGAACGUCUUUUAGACAUAAACGUAUUUUAAACGUCUUUUGGGCCUCAAACUGCUCACAGUGAAAUAUGUAGCAUUAAAUACGUCGUCAUAGUAACACAUUAACAGUUUACAAUGACAGGACAAAGAAGACCAUCUGACACAGGCAACAAUUCAUUUGUUUUUAUUCAUAUAAAAUCUCCCGUUUCUUCUUUAAAUGUCGUUGUCAAAGCCUCCAGGAGCCGGUUUCAGAUGAUCGGCCAUAUUUCAGAUGUCUGUAAAUUAAACAAGAAUUAGAAAAACAUAUUCACUCUUGAACCCAUUCCACAUUAUAAUACUUUAUAUUGUUUGUAAGUUGCUCUAUGCCAAACAACAAUGUUUCUGACCGUCUUCUUGUUUGUACAUCAAUGUAUUUUACUCACUUCCUCCCAUUUAAACUGUGUACCUCCCCAUUUAAACUGUGUACCUCCCCAUUUAAACUGUGUACCUCCCCAUUUAAACUG